rnacentral:misc_RNA from 1 species
AACGCACAUUGCGCCCUCUGGUAUUCCGGGGGGCAUGCCUGUUCGAGCGUCAUUACAACCCUCAAGCUCUGCUUGGUAUUGGGUGUCACCGCUGUGGUGCACCCUAAAAUCAGUGGCGGUGUCACCCGGCUCCUAGCGUAGUAAUACUUCUCGCUAUAGAGCCUGGGUGUAUGCUUGCCAUAACCCCCACUCUCAAGGUUGACCUCGGAUCAGGUAGGGAUACCCGCUGAACUUAA